UUUUCAAGGCACUGUGAAGCCCCUGAUGCGAAACAGCAGUUACCGCAGGCCAUGGAGGAGCGGGCACAGCUGAAAGCACAUCUAGGGCAGGUAAUGGAGUCAGUUAGAUAACUACAAACGGAGAGAGAUACGUAUGCUGAAAAUCUGAAAGGAGGGAGGGCCAUGUGGUGUCAGAGGAAGCAACAGAUGUCGGAGCAGGGCCCUCCAAGGUGGAGCAGCAGCUACAAGCAGAGGCUGACCACCUGCAGAAGGAGCUGGAGAGUCUGGCAGCUCCGAGCCCAGGAGCAAGACACUGAGGGCUUCAGUCACCCGAACCAGGAGUAGGAGGAGAGGCUGCUGGAGCUGGAGCAGGUGGCCGAGCUCUUGCGGGAGCAGGCAGAGUCACGCAGGCAAAUCCUGGAGACCAUGCAGAACAAAUGCACCACCAUCAGCCACGUGCUCACCCAGAACCACAAGCUCAAAGAGCAGCUGUCUCCGCUGCAGAACGGAUUCAUAAAGCUGGUGCCACGGGAGGCAGACACCAAGUUCUGGGGUCUCCAGCUGCAGUGGGUGGCCGCCAAUUGCUUCUCUCUGUCCAGACUAAUGAGAACAUGGAGAUCACCAGUGCACUGCAGUUGGAAUAGCACGUAAAGAGGGAGCUGGGAAAGAAGCUGGGCAAGCUAAAGGACAUGGUAACCCUGCCCCAUCCAAGAAGAGCUGGAAGGCGGGCACCAGCCUCUGGGGAGGGGAGGUGUGAAGCCAGAGGCAGCUCCAGCCUGGGGGACAGGUGACCCCAGCACCCUCCAGGGCAGUCCUGUGACUGUUUCUUGCUUCCCGCCCUCUGACAUUUAGUGGUGGGUUCGUUCUUCCUAGGUCUGGACAUCAUCAUCCCAGCUGGAGUCAUGGAGCCUCCCAAACAUAGGGAAAGAGAUGGUGGUAUAAGAGGUUCCUUAGAGUCAAACUAGAUUCCGGCCUUGGCUCCACUGGUCACCUACUUUUCAUCUCUAAGUCUCGGUUUCUUUAACUUAAAAGGGAAGUUAGCACCUUCCUCUUGGAGGUGCUGAGGAUUAAAUGAGAUAAUACGUGGAAAGCAUUAGGCAUGUAGCACAGUUAGCAGAUGGUGGUUGGCUCCCUCUGCUUUUCCAUCAGUCUGUGGCCUAGUUUAAAUGGUGGGAGGAAGGGUGUGAGAUUUAAGGCUGGUUGUAAGGGAUCAGUCAGUGUAGUUGGAAAAAUUGUAAGAUGAAGUUAUAGGAUAUAGACACAAACCUUCCUGGAAGGCCAGAAAGUCUGCAUAGCUUCAAUAAAGGAUUUGGCUGAAAGCAGCGUAAUCCCCUUUACCUUGAGUUGAUAGCAAUAGAGCAAAUAACAUGGGAACGUGGGGGAGUUUAUUGAAUAGCUUGUUUACUCAUGUGGUCCUAAGACCAACCUUUGAUUAUCCACGGGUGCAUGAUUGCUCUCUACUCGGUGGUCGGCAAAUUUAAUUACCCACAGGUGUGUUGACUCAAAGCCUCUGUCAUUAAAUCUAUGCUGAAUAAAUGCCGUCAGGGCCAGCUAGUCAAGGUGCACAACUCUUUUUGUGCGUGGUGUGGCCCCUUAGCUGCUCUGUCACUGAAUAUUGGUGUCUGAGUAUGUUAUUCAUCUGCCGUGCAACUGGGGUUUGCAGGACAGACCCCUGCAAGUGGUGUCCCGCGUGAGGCACACUGUGAAGGAUCACAACGGACCCCUCGAAAACAAAGGUGAAAAGAACUGCACAGUCAAUAAGUCAGUAAGUCAUUGAUGCCCGCUCGGAAUUUCCAAGUUUGGCGGGGAUUGUUCAGGCUAGGGUUUCAUCAUGGGACAACAGUUAUCAGCUCAACAGGAACAGUAUAUAAAAGUAUUGAAGCAGCUGCUUAAAACUAGUGGAGCCUCAUUUUCACAGGCUCAAUUAAGGGACCUAAUGCAAACUGUUGUCUCACAUAACCCAUAGUUCCCAGAAAAAGGAACGCUAGACGUAGAGCUCUGGGAACAAGUGGGGAGAAAUCUUAAUCAGCAUCAUGUGCAAGGGCAAUGGGUCCCAGUAUCAUCUUUAAUGCUAUGGGCCUUAGUCAGGGCAGCCCUGGCUCCAUUAUACACAGAAGAGCCUAAAAAGGGGAAGGAGGAGGAACCGUCACCUGCUUUACCACCUCCUUUUCCCUCAGCCCCAAUAUCGCCAGGCCAAAAUAACAAAGAGGAAAUGGAGGUUUUGCCUGAGCCCCCUCCUCCAAUAAAUAGGAAAAAAGACAAGAGCUAUGCUACAGCUAUGGGACCCUUUCUUAGGCAAGAGGCAUUAAGUGGGGAGCUCUUAGCCUGCCUGGUAAUACAAGAUUGACAGGGCAAUUGGGUAUAUAAACCCAUUUCUUUUAACAUUUAUAAAAAGUUAAGAAAAAGCAUUAGAGGCUGAAACCGCGUGGCCAAAUGGGUGGUAGGCAGAAGGAAAUACUUGGCAGCAAAGGAAGCUCGCAGACCUGGAGCCAGCAAGUGCUUCCAGGAACUCAGCCUGCACAGAGGCAGCAGUGACAAGGAGCCAGGCGCAGCACACCAGAGCUGGCCUGAUAGGGAGGGGCAGGAGGCGUGCACGAAGGUCCGCCCAGCGGCAGCAGGGUGAGGGAGCAGCACAGACAAAAGGUGGCACAGACAAAAAGCAGCGCCUGAGCAAGCGCAACAUGACCGCCGCCCCGGGACCCGCCGGCUAGACUCUCUGGCUCCGCGGGUGGCCCAUGGCAAAAUUUCAUGUGUUCCUUGUAUACAAGCGACAUCCCAGAUUAUAAUUCUCUGCUAAGAUUUAAGUACAAUUUAAGAAUUUAAAACACCUCUUUCUAAUAAUGGCCACUGUUGCUUUUACACUAUUCCCCUGGCAAAGCAAGACAGAAAAAUUUGCAUUUACAAUACCAGCUAUCAAUAUUGAAAGGUCAGCUUGCCGAUUUCAUUGGAAAGUGCUUCCUCAAGGAAUGCUAAACAGUGCUGCCAUGUGUCAGUAUCAUGUAAAUCAAGCUUUGUUCCCCAGUAGAAAAGAAUUUCCUCAUUGCAAGGUUAUUCAUUUUAUGGAUGAUAUUCUACUAGCAGCCCCAGUGGAGCCAGUGCUUUUAAGUUUAUAUACCUCUGUCAUAAAGAAUGCACAGCUAAGUGGUUUAAUCAUUGCACCUGAAAAAGCACAAAUGUCCUCUCCUUGGAAGUAUCUUGGGUACAUACUUCCUGGUCAGUAAGACCUCAAAAGGUUAAAUUAAAUACUAGCAACUUACACACCUUAAAUGAUUAUCAGAAAUUACUAGGUAAUUUUAACUGGCUUCACCCCACCUUGGGCAUUCCUACUUAUAAGCUGCAAAACCUGUUUUCUAUCUUAAAGGGUAACACAGCCCUGGAUUCUCCCAGAUAUUUAACCCCUGCAGC
rnacentral:lncRNA from 1 species